UUGAACGCUGGCGGCAUGCUUUACACAUGCAAGUCGAACGGUAACAGGUCUUCGGAUGCUGACGAGUGGCGAACGGGUGAGUAAUGCAUCGGAACGUGCCCAGUCGUGGGGGAUAACGCAGCGAAAGCUGUGCUAAUACCGCAUGCGAUCUAUGGAUGAAAGCGGGGGAUCGCAAGACCUCGCGCGAUUGGAGCGGCCGAUGUCAGAUUAGCUAGUUGGUGGGGUAAAGGCCCACCAAGGCGACGAUCUGUAGCUGGUCUGAGAGGACGACCAGCCACACUGGGACUGAGACACGGCCCAGACUCCUACGGGAGGCAGCAGUGGGGAAUUUUGGACAAUGGGCGCAAGCCUGAUCCAGCAAUGCCGCGUGCAGGAAGAAGGCCUUCGGGUUGUAAAGCUCUUUCAGGAGGGAAGAAACGGUUGCAGCUAAUAUCUGCGACUAAUGACGGUACCUUCAGAAGAAGCACCGGCUAACUACGU
rnacentral:rRNA from 1 species